rnacentral:rRNA from 1 species
CCUACGGGAGGCAGCAGUGAGGAAUAUUGGUCAAUGGGCGGGAGCCUGAACCAGCCAAGCCGCGUGAGGGAAGAAGGUACAGCGUAUCGUAAACCUCUUUUGUCAGGGAACAAAGGCGGGGACUAGUCCCCGGAUGAGGAUACCUGAAGAAAAAACAUCGGCUAACUCCGUGCCAGCAGCCGCGGUAAUACGGAGGCUGCGAGCGUUAUCCGGAUUUAUUGGGUUUAAAGGGUGCGCAGGCGGCCUGUUAAGUCAGCGGGAAAAGCCCGGGGCUCAACCCCGGCGAGCCGUUGAAACUGGCGGGCUGGAGUUGGAGAGAAGUACGCGGAAUGCGCGGUGUAGCGGUGAAAUGCUUAGAUAUCGCGCAGAACCCCGAUUGCGAAGGCAGCGUACCGGCUCCACACUGACGCUGAGGCACGAAAGCGUGGGUAUCGAACAGGAUUAGAUACCCUAGUAGUC